GUAAUUGUGCCAAUUUACAAUCAAGAAGCCAUCAAACCAAAUGCAGCUUAAUUCAGAUACAAACCUAUAUUGAUAGCAAAAAGCAAUAAAAAAAAACUGAGGACACAGACCUUGGUGAGAUGCCAAAUGGAAAAUGGUGCUUUAAAAGGCAGUCUCUUACAAUGUAAGGAAUAAAGUAAAACCUCAUUAGCUUGGAAUUCCUGAUCUGAAUGAUCAGGUAUUCUAGACAAGAUCAAGAAAAGAUAGUUCAAACUAUUGAAUGAACUUUUACUUAAGCACUUUGGAGGUGUUCACGCCCCUUAAAUGUAAGUUACGUAUCUAUUCAUUGAAGGAAGUCUAAGCAGUU
rnacentral:lncRNA from 1 species